AAUCCAAACGGCAUUUAAAGCGGCGGUUUUCACACACAGGAAAACGGCGUGAAAUAUGACGUUUUUAACGUUUUCCGUGCCUUUUUGUACGCCGUUUGCAAUCACUACAGCGUAGUUUACGGCGCCAAGGUCGUUUAAAAUGCCGUUAAAUAUGCCGUUUUGGAUGUAAACGCGAUUAGGCUAUAGCGUAUUGUGAGCCUUUUGGCUUGCCAAGCUCUGCGCUAUAUUCUGCACACAAAGCUCUGGUUAUCCUGUCUCUGGAUCACGCUCAUGUGCGUUGCGGUGGGAAAUUUGUUGUAGUGGCCAGAAAAUUCAAGUCUCCUGCUGAUGGAAAAAUCCAAAUCGAAGAUUUGUUGCUAUGUUUUAUUAUUUUUAUAUUGAAUUACGUUUUCUUGUUAUUUGGCGUGAGGGUACGACAACGAUGUACUAAAAACAGAAAAGUUUUUCCUUUGCGUUUUUGAAAAGUUUCGCGUACAGACGACAUCGUUGUCAAAACGAUCCGCGAAAACGACUAAAAACGCUGUAUUAUGCAUGCCAGGCCAGUAGUUGGCGAUGUCACUUUCUAAAUAAACACUACGCGCCUGCGCACAUAAGCAUUCUUCUACAGAGCGGUGAAUACAAACAAUGAAGAUGGCGAUCGCUGGUUGUAGCAGUGAUGCAGUAAAUCUACACUUUGAUGGAGAAGCGUCAAUAAACUCAAAAUCCUGAGCAGCACAAACACAGUCCUGUAGUCCGCCAUUGUAGUUUUGAAUGUCUCGUGGGUUGUUUUGAAGUACUCGCGCGCAUGCCUAUAGACUGAACUCUCAAGAUUAUUCAAUAAACUCUGCUCAUUUUUACCAUCACUUCGUCUCCUGCCUUCUUCUGUAUUCCCCCUGCUGACUCUUGGGCUUGUAGGAGAGAUGUUGACCGUCUACCCGCAGACCAAAUCCUACUUUUCCCACUGGAAAGACACAAGUCCUGGAUCUGCACCCGUCAGGAAGCAUGGCAAAACUGUUAUGGGUGGCCUAUACGAGGCAGUCAGCAAAAUCGAC